rnacentral:rRNA from 1 species
AGUGAACGCUGGCGGUAGGCCUAACACAUGCAAGUCGAAUGGCAGCACAGUAAGAGCUUGCUCUUACGGGUGGCGAGUGGCGGACGGGUGAGGAAUACAUCGGAAUCUACUUUUUCGUGGGGGAUAACGUAGGGAAACUUACGCUAAUACCGCAUACGACCUACGGGUGAAAGCAGGGGGUCUUCGGACCUUGCGCGAUUGAAUGAGCCGAUGUCGGAUUAGCUAGUUGGCGGGGUAAAGGCCCACCAAGGCGACGAUCCGUAGCUGGUCUGAGAGGAUGAUCAGCCACACUGGAACUGAGACACGGUCCAGACUCCUACGGGAGGCAGCAGUGGGGAAUAUUGGACAAUGGGCGCAAGCCUGAUCCAGCCAUACCGCGUGGGUGAAGAAGGCCUUCGGGUUGUAAAGCCCUUUUGUUGGGAAAGAAAAGCAGCGGGUUAAUACCCCGCUGUUCUGACGGUACCCAAAGAAUAAGCACCGGCUAACUUCGUG